UACGUAGGGAGCAAGCGUUGUCCGGAUUCACUGGGUGUAAAGGGUGCGCAGGCGAACUUGUAAGUCAGGGGUGAAAUCUCACGGCUUAACCGUGAAACUGCCUUUGAUACUGCAGGUCUUGAGUUCGGGAGAGGUUGAUGGAAUUCCAGGUGUAGCGGUGAAAUGCGUAGAUAUCUGGAAGAACACCAGUGGCGAAGGCGGUCAACUGGCCCGUAACUGACGCUCAGGCACGAAAGCGUGGGUAGCGAACAGG
rnacentral:rRNA from 1 species